rnacentral:rRNA from 1 species
UCAGACGAUGCGUCAUGCAUAUCAAUAAGCGGAGGAAAAGAAACUAACAAGGAUUCCCCUAGUAACGGCGAGUGAAGCGGGAAGAGCUCAAAUUUGAAAUCUUAAAGGGUUUCCCUUUACGAAUUGUAGUUUAAAGAAGUGUUUUCUGUUGAGGUUUUGGUAAAAGUUCUUUGGAAUAGGACAUCAUAGAGGGUGAGAAUCCCGUAUUUGACCUUUACUUUCAACUUUGUGAUACACUUUCAAAGAGUCGGAUUGUUUGGGAAUGCAGUCCAAAAUGGGUGGUAAAUUUCAUCUAAAGCUAAAUAUUGGCGAGAGACCGAUAGCGAACAAGUACCGUGAGGGAAAGAUGAAAAGAACUUUGAAAAGAGAGUUAAACAGUACGUGAAAUUGUCAAAAGGGAAGCGUUUGACACCAGUGUUGUUUUUCUGAAAAUCAAUUAAAGAACUGUUUAUGCUAAGCUGUUUAGACUUUAUCAGCUAUCUGUUUAGUUUUGAGCUUUUCUUUAAUGCACUUUUCAGUUAACAAGUCAACAUCAAUUUCUUUUGCUGUAAAAAAGCUUGAGGAAGGUGGCUUGAGAUUCGUCUUAAGUGUUUAUAGCCUCUUGCUUAUGCAGUCGGAGAGAUUGAGGUCUGCAGCGUAGAUCCUUCGGGGCUAAAUGCAUUUGUGCUAAGUUAUAGCAUUUUAUAGACAACUUGUUGACUAUGAUUUGUCUUGUAGCUUACUCGCUUAUGUUAUUUUACCUACGCUUAGGAUGUUGACACACGCGCGUGCUCG